rnacentral:rRNA from 1 species
UACGAAGGGGGCGAGCGUUGUUCGGAAUUACUGGGCGUAAAGGGUGCGUAGGUGGCGGGGUAAGUCAGGUGUGAAAUCUCGGAGCUCAACUCCGAAACUGCACUUGAUACUGCCUUGCUCGAGUACUGGAGAGGAGAUUGGAUUUACGGUGUAGCAGUGAAAUGCGUAGAUAUCGUAAGGAAGACCAGUGGCGAAGGCGGCUCACUGGCCCGAUACUGACGCUGAGGCACGAAAGCGUGGGGAGCAAACAGG